GACGAACGCUGGCGGCGUGCCUAAUACAUGCAAGUAGAACGCUGAAGGAGGAGCUUGCUUCUCUGGAUGAGUUGCGAACGGGUGAGUAACGCGUAGGUAACCUGCCUGGUAGCGGGGGAUAACUAUUGGAAACGAUAGCUAAUACCGCAUAAUAGCAGUUGUUGCAUGAUAACUGUUUGAAAGGUGCAAUUGCACCACUACCAGAUGGACCUGCGUUGUAUUAGCUAGUUGGUGGGGUAACGGCUCACCAAGGCGACGAUACAUAGCCGACCUGAGAGGGUGAUCGGCCACACUGGGACUGAGACACGGCCCAGACUCCUACGGGAGGCAGCAGUAGGGAAUCUUCGGCAAUGGACGGAAGUCUGACCGAGCAACGCCGCGUGAGUGAAGAAGGUUUUCGGAUCGUAAAGCUCUGUUGUAAGAGAAGAACGAGUGUGAGAGUGGAAAGUUUCACAACUGUGACGGUAUCUACCAAGAAA
rnacentral:rRNA from 1 species